GAGCCGGUAGCUCAGCUGGUAGAGCACCUGACUUUUAAUUAGGUGGUCGCGGGUUCGAGACCCGCCCGGCUCA
rnacentral:tRNA from 1 species